rnacentral:rRNA from 1 species
GACGAACGCUGGCGGCGUGCUUAACACAUGCAAGUCGAACGGAAAGGCCCUUCGGGGUACUCGAGUGGCGAACGGGUGAGUAACACGUGGGUGAUCUGCCCUGCACUUUGGGAUACGCCUGGGAAACUGGGUCUAAUACCGCAUAGGACCACGCGCUUCAUGGUGUGUGGUGGCAAGCUUUUGCGGUGUGGGAUGGGCCCGCGGCCUAUCAGCUUGUUGGUGGUGUAAUGGCAUACCAAGGCGACGCCGGGUAGCCGGCCUGAGAGGGUGACCGGCGACAAUGGGACUGAGAUACGGCGCAGACUCCUACGGGAGGCAGCAGUGGGGAAUAUUGCACAAUGGGCGCAAGCCUGAUGCAGCGACGCCGCGUGAGGGAUGACGGCCUUCGGGUUGUAAACCUCUUUCGAUAGGGACGAAGCGCAAGUGACGGUACCUAUAGAAGAAGCACCGGCCAACUACGUG